GACGAACGCUGGCGGCGUGCUUAACACAUGCAAGUCGAGCGGUAAGGCCCUUUCGGGGGUACACGAGCGGCGAACGGGUGAGUAACACGUGGGUGACCUGCCCUCAGCUCUGGGAUAAGCCUGGGAAACCGGGUCUAAUACUGGAUAUGACUCCAUGACGCAUGUUGUGGGGUGGAAAGCCUUGUGCGGCUGAGGAUGGGCCCGCGGCCUAUCAGCUUGUUGGUGGGGUGANGGCCUACCAAGGCGACGACGGGUAGCCGGCCUGAGAGGGCGACCGGCCACACUGGGACUGAGACACGGCCCAGACUCCUACGGGAGGCAGCAGUGGGGAAUCUUGCGCAAUGGGCGAAAGCCUGACGGAGUGACGCCGCGUGUGGGAUGAAGGCCU
rnacentral:rRNA from 1 species